GCUUCAUACUUUGUAUAUGGAUGCCUCAUGUUACGAAGUUUCCGUCAGUCCAAUGUCCUCGACCUCAUUUUCAUGGUUCAGUGACAACUUGAAAAAAAAGUUAAGAUUUUUUGUAAUGUUAAAUUCUCUCUUAUUAUAAGUAAUAGGAUAACUAUAUUUAGUAUGUGCGUACCUUGCAAGGUCCUCAUGCCCGUCAGACAGUUUUCACUUGACCUCGACCUCAUUUCAUGGAUCAGUGAACAAGGUUAAGUUUUGGUGGUCAAGUUCAUAUCUCAGAUACUAUAAGCAAUAGGUCUAGUAUAUUCGGUGUAUGGAAUGAUUGUAAGGUGUACAUGUCUAGCUGGCAGGUGUCAUCUGACCUUGACCUCAUUUUCAUGGUUCAGUGGUCAAAGCUAAGUUUUUGUGUUUUGGUCUUUUUUUCUAAUACUAUAUGCAAUAGUUCAACUAUAUUUGGUGUAUGGAAAUAUUUUAUGAUCUAUAUGUCAGUCACAUAGGUUUUAUUUGACCUUGACAUCAUUUUCAAGGUUCAUUGCUCAGUGUUAAGUUUUUGUGUUUUGGUCUGUUUUUCUUAAACUAUAAGCAAUAGGUCAAUUAUAUUUGUUGUAUGGAAGAAUUGUUAGCUGUACAUGCCUGCCUAGCAUGGUUCAUCUGACCUUGACCUCAUUUUCAUGGUUCAUUGGUCAAUGUUUAGUUUACUUGGUUAAUGUUAAGUUUAUGUGACAGUUGUAAUAAAGCUUUAUAUUUAGGACUAUCAACAUAAUAUCAAUGAUUAGUAAAUAAGGCGAGACAUUUCAG